UCGGGCUUUAAACCACGGUCGAAGCUGAUAUCUAACCUGCAAUCACUGAAAAGUAGACAAUACAAUCCACCCUCUUCAGCAGGAAGCAGUUACACCCUUCUAAGCCCCAUGACCCUUCUGUCAUUCUUGCCGCUGACCUGGAAGGAUUGCCACAGGAACUUCCUUAGGAAAUCUGAUAAUUCCCUGACAUUAUGAGGACUGUGUCAAAGAUGUGGCUGACGCAUGGCUUGGUGUGCACCAUGGAAGAUGCUGUGAGAAAGUCCUGCUCUGCUCCACGUGAUGAGAGAAACUGGGUAGCUCUGAGCACCUUGUCAUAGCUCUGUGUUUCUUUUUUCAGCAACAAAAUGAUACUUUUGAUAUAAAAGUAUAAAAUCAUGCAUGAAUCAAAUUUGCUACAAGAAUAACUGCAAGAUGAGGCC
rnacentral:lncRNA from 1 species